rnacentral:ncRNA from 17 species
ACCUUAUUUUGAGAAGCUGAGGGAUUUGGCCCAUAGAAGCUUCAGCAACCGACUUUAAAUAGCACGGUGCUAAUACCAACGAGCAACUCGAAUGAUAAGUA